rnacentral:rRNA from 1 species
GGUGCAUGGUUGUCGUCAGCUCGUGUCGUGAGAUGUUGGGUUAAGUCCCGCAACGAGCGCAACCCUUGUCUUUAGUUGCCAUCAUUAAGUUGGGCACGCUAGAGAGACUGCCAGGGAUAACCUGGAGGAAGGUGGGGAUGACGUCAAAUCAUCAUGCCCCUUAUGCUUAGGGCUACACACGUGCUACAAUGGGUAGUACAGAGGGUUGCCAAGCCGUAAGG